GAUGAACGCUGGCGGCGUGCCUAAUACAUGCAAGUCGAGCGAAUGGAUUAAGAGCUUGCUCUUAUGAAGUUAGCGGCGGACGGGUGAGUAACACGUGGGUAACCUGCCCAUAAGACUGGGAUAACUCCGGGAAACCGGGGCUAAUACCGGAUAAUAUUUUGAACUGCAUGGUUCAAAAUUGAAAGGCGGCUUCGACUGUCACUUAUGGAUGGACCCGCGUCGCAUUAGCUAGUUGGUGAGGUAACGGCUCACCAAGGCAACGAUGCGUAGCCGACCUGAGAGGGUGAUCGGCCACACUGGGACUGAGACACGGCCCAGACUCCUACGGGAGGCAGCAGUAGGGAAUCUUCCGCAAUGGGCGAAAGUCUGACGGAGCAACGCCGCGUGAGUGAUGAAGGCUUUCGGGUCGUAAAACUCUGUUGUUAGGGAAGAACAAGUGCUAGUUGAAUAAGCUGGCACCUUGACGGUACCUAACCAGAAAGCCACGGCUAACUACGUGCCAGCCGCCGCCGUAA
rnacentral:rRNA from 1 species